rnacentral:misc_RNA from 1 species
CCUAGAGUAUGCGGGCUUUGCCUGCCAUCUCUUACCCAUGUCUUUUGAGUACCUUCGUUUCCUCGGCGGGUCCGCCUGCCGGACUGGACAAUUUAAACCAUUUGCAGUUGCAAUCAGCGUCUGAAAAAACUUAAUAGUUA